rnacentral:rRNA from 1 species
GAUGAACGCUAGCGGCAGGCCUAAUACAUGCAAGUCGAACGGUGUCUUCGGACAUAGUGGCGCACGGGUGCGUAACACGUAUGCAACCUACCUUACAUUGGGGGAUAGCCUUUCGAAAGGGAGAUUAAUACCGCAUAAGACAGUAGCUGGGCAUCCAGCAGCUGUUAAAGAUUUAUCGAUGUAAGCUGGGCAUGCGUCCAAUUAGCUAGUUGGUGAGGUAACGGCUCACCAAGGCAAUGAUUGGUAGGGGAACUGAGAGGUCAAUCCCCCACACUGGCACUGAGAUACGGGCCAGACGCCUGUGGGAGGCAGCAGUAGGGAAUAUUGGGCAAUGGACGCAAGUCUGACCCAGCCAUGCCGCGUGCAGGAUGAAGGCGUUAUGCGUUGUAAACUGCUUUUAUACAGGAAGAAACGACUCUUGCGAGAGGCAUUGACGGUACUGUAUGAAUAAGCACCGACUAACUCCGUGCCAGCCGCCGCGGUAAAAC